GACGAACGCUGGCGGCGUGCUUAACACAUGCAGGUCGAACGAUGAAGCUGGAGCUUGCUCCGGUGGAUUAGUGGCGAACGGGUGAGUAACACGUGAGCAAUCUGCCCUUGACCCUGGGAUAACUGCGGGAAACUGUAGCUAAUACCGGAUACGAGGCUCGAAGGCAUCUUCGGGUCUGGAAGGAAUUUCGGUCAAGGAUGAGCUCGCGGCCUAUCAGCUUGUUGGUGAGGUAAUGGCUCACCAAGGCGACGACGGGUAGCCGGCCUGAGAGGGGGACCGGCCACACUGGGACUGAGACACGGCCCAGACUCCUACGGGAGGAAGCGGUGGGGAAUAUUGCACAAUGGGCGAAAGCCUGAUGCAGCAACGCCGCGUGAGGGAUGAAGGCCUUCGGGUUGUAAACCUCUUUUAGCAGGGAAGAAGCGAAAGUGACGGUACCUGCAGAAAAAGCACCGGCUAACUACGUGCCAGCAGCCGCCGUAA
rnacentral:rRNA from 1 species